CGAAAGCCUCCAUGGAUGUGGAUGCAGCUAAUGUAAAGGAGCAGGGGAUUAUCGACGGGGUGGAAGAACAAGAGGAUUCAAACCCAGGGUUAGAUGAAGCAGACACGACAGUUGGUACACU